rnacentral:rRNA from 1 species
CAGUCGCCGCGGUAAUACGAAGGGGGCUAGCGUUGCUCGGAAUGACUGGGCGUAAAGGGCGCGUAGGCGGCGAUCAAAGUCAGGCGUGAAAUUCCUUGGCUCGACCUGGGGGCUGCGUUUGAUACUUGAUUGCUAGAGUGGGGAAGAGGGUCGUGGAACUCCCAGUGUGGAGGUGAAAUUCGUAGAUAUUGGGAAGAACACCGGUGGCGAAGGCGGCGACCUGGUCCUUGACUGACGCUGAGGCGCGAAAGCGUGGGGAGCAAACAGGAUUAGAUACCCCGGUAGUCCCUGUCUCUUAUAC